GUGCGGAGUGGCGAGGACAGUGGAACGUGUGGAUCGUGAGGGUGCGCCGGUGCACGAAAAGUGACGUUUUGGACCAUCCUCGAGGCGUCCGCGGUGAGCCCGAGGACUCGUUCGCACCUAUGGACACUCCGCGAGAAGGCGUGAAGUGAUAACGCGAAAGGAUUUAACGAACGAAUUUACGCUUACCUAGAGGAGGAGAAACGACACGACUCGAGUCGAGCUACUCGAGAGAUCUUUGCUGCCCCUGACUAUCGUUCCUCGUUAUCAUGGCUACCUUGUCUCUGCGAAUCUCCAUCCCGGAGAAAAACGCCACGAAGAUGAUGCAGUUCGACCCGAGCACGUCUGUCUACGAUGCCUGUCGUAUCAUCAGGGAAAAACUCGCCGAAGCGAGCAAUAUGGGACAACCAAAGGAUUACGGACUCUUCUUGUCCGACGAGGACGCGAAGAAAGGCGUCUGGCUGGAGCCAGGACGAAACCUCGACUACUACAUCCUGAGGAACGGCGAUCUCCUGGAAUAUAGGAGGAAACUGAGGACUCUCCGAGUCAGGAUGCUCGACGGCACCUUGAAGACGUUGCUGGUCGACGACAGCCAACCGGUGGCGAAUCUCAUGGUAGUGAUCUGCACGAAAAUCGGAAUCACGAAUCACGACGAGUACUCCCUGGUGCGCGAGCUCGUCGACGAGGAGACCGAAAAUCAAAAGCCUGCCAAUUUUGGCACGCUCACUCUCAAGAGGAAGAAGGAGGAGAAGGUCGAGAGGGACGCGAAGAUGGACCAGCUGAGGAAGAAACUGAAGACGGACGACGAAGUUAACUGGAUCGAUCCCAGCAAGACGCUUCGCGAACAGGGCAUUGACGAGUCCGAAACCGUUUUGCUUCGUCGGAAAUUCUUCUUCUCCGAUCAGAAUAUCGACAGUAGAGAUCCUGUACAGCUCUCGCUCCUCUACGUCCAGGCUAGGGACGCGAUCCUGGACGGCACGCAUCCUGUCACCCAGGAGAAGGCUUGCACCUUCGCCGGGAUUCAAUGCCAGAUUCAGUUCGGCGACCACAAGGAGGACAAACACAAACCCGGGUUCCUGGAUCUGAAGGAGUUCCUGCCGCAGUCCUACGUCAAGGUGAAGGGCAUCGAGAAGAAGGUCUUCGCCGAGCAUAAAAAGCACGUCGGCCUUUCCGAAUUGGACGCGAAAGUCCUCUACACGAAGACGGCGAGAUCCCUGAGCACUUACGGGGUCACCUUCUUCCUGGUGAAGGAGAAGAUGAAGGGGAAGAACAAGCUCGUGCCGCGACUCCUUGGCGUCACUAAGGACUCCGUCCUGCGACUCGACGAGAAGACGAAGGAGAUCCUGAAGACCUGGCCCCUGACGACGGUCAGAAGGUGGGGAGCCUCGCCGAAUACCUUCACCCUCGACUUCGGGGAUUACUCCGAUCAGUACUACAGCGUGCAGACGACGGAGGCGGAGCAGAUCCUUCAGCUUAUCGCCGGAUACAUCGACAUCAUCCUGAAGAAGCAGAAGGCGAAGGACCACUUCGGCAUCGAGGGCGACGAAGGCUCGACCAUGGUCGAAGACAGCGUCUCUCCUUUGAAGGCGACCAUCAUGCAACACGAGACCAGCAACGUUGGCAAAGGAAACGUGGAAGCCGUUUCUGUCGCGAUUCCUGCUGUCAUGCGAGUCGGAGGAGAUGGGGCUCGGCCGUAUGGAACUGGGCACAUGGCAGGAGCACAAUAUACAACCAUCAGUGGACAAGUCAACAUCGCCCAUGCUCCUCCAAUGGUGCAGCAGACCAAGGUGACGUCGGUGAUGUCGGAGCCGCAGCGAGCGUUGUUAUCGACAAUCACGGCCGGCCACGAGGUGAUCCAGACAGCGGAGGUGGAGCUGACGACGAAGGUGCAGCUCCCGGAGCUGGGCUCCGACCCGGCAUCCUUGAAGUGGAUCGAGCAGACCAUCGACACGCACAAGCAGAGCGUGGGGUCGCAAAUAGCUGCCAUGAACGCGGCAACGGCUCAGGUGGUGACCCUGACUUCCGGACCUGCCGACGACGUGGACCACACCGCGGUCGGGGCAGCCAUCACGACCAUCGCCACCAACCUGCCGGAGAUGACGAAGGGGGUCAGGAUGAUUGCCGCUCUAAUGGAGGACGAGAACUCCGGGGACAGACUCCUGGACGCCGCCAGGAAACUCUGCUCCGCGUUCUCGGACCUCCUCAAGGCCACCGAGCCGGAGACCAAGGAGCCGAGGCAGAACCUGCUGAACGCAGCGUCGAGGGUGGGUGAGGCAUCGCACCAGGUGCUGACCACCAUCGGCGAGGAGAACGAUUCCAGUCGCGAGCUCCAGGACAUGCUGCUGGCCCUGGCCAAGGCAGUCGGGAACACGACGGCCGCCCUCGUCCUUAAGGCGAAGAACAUCGCGGCGACUUGCGAGGACUCCGACACCCAGAAUCGGGUCAUCUCCGCGGCGACCCAGUGCGCCCUGGCGACGUCCCAGCUGGUGGCGUGUGCCAAGGUCGUGGCCCCGACCCUGCACUCUCCGGCUUGCCAGACUCAGCUGAUGAACGCCGUCAGGGAGGUCACCAGGGCGGUGGAGGCGCUCGUCCAGACCUGCAACGAGGUCUGCGGGGACGAGAACCUGCUGAAGGAGCUGGGCGCCGCCGCGGCCGAGGUCAGCAGGACCCUGAACGACUUGCUGAACCACAUCAGGACCGCCACCAGGGCGGAGCGCGCCAAGGAGACCGUGCAAGAGGGUGCCGUCGAGACCAUCCUCGUCGCGACCGACAAGCUCUUCGCCAGCACCGGGGAUGCCGGCGAGAUGGUCCGCCAGGCUAGGGUCGUCGGCCAGGCCACGGCUCAGCUGAUUCAGAACAUCAAGGGCGAAGCUGAGAGGCAAACGGACACGGAACAGCAGCGCCGCCUGCUGGCGGCGGCGAAGAUGUUAGCGGACGCGACUGCGAAAAUGGUGGAGGCCGCUCGUCAAUGCGCCAGCAGUCCCCACGAUGCACGUAUGCAAGAUCAGCUUCGACAAGCAGCCGAAGAGCUGCGAGCAGCUACGACGGUUGCGGCUACUCCAGCACUCAGGAGAAAAUUAAUCGGCAGAUUAGAGGUCUGCGCGAAACAGGCAGCAUCGACGGCUACGCAGUGCAUAGCGGCAUCUUCAGGAACCGGGCAGCACAAUGCGAACCCUCAGAGCCAGGAAGAGCUGAAUGCGGAAUGUCGGGCGAUGGGGCAGCGAAUUCCGCAGCUGGUGGCAGGGGUCAAAGGUACCCUGGCCCACCCUGACGACGCUGCGGCUCAGCUGAGCCUGAUAAACGCCUCGGAGCAGUUCCUGCAACCGGGGAGUUCGGUCGUCAAGGCCGCCAGGGCGGUCUUGCCAACGGUUACCGAUCAGGCUUCGGCGAUGCAGCUCAAUGAGAGCUCCCAGCAGCUGGGGUCGUGUCUAGCCGACCUCCGGUCGGCCGUCACCAGGGCUAGAGAGGCCUGCGGAGGACUCGAGCUGGACGUUGCCGAAGAGCUGAUAGACAGUCUCAGGGAUGAGUUGAGGGAGUUCCAUAGGGCGGUGGAGGCGGCUACCCUGAAGCCGCUCCCAGGGGAGACGAUCGAGUCCACCGCUCUCAGGGUGGGGUCGACCUCGAAGAGCGUCGGCUUCGCCAUGGCGCAGCUCUUGUCCGCUGCCAGGCAGGGGAACGAGAAUUAUACGGGAAGUGCCGCCAGAGAGACCGCUUCUGCCUUGAAGGAUCUUACCUCUGCCGUGCGUGGAGUCGCCGCCACCUCGAAGACCUCCCCAGACACCCAGAAGAAGGUCUUGGCCACUGCCGAAGAGGUCAUCCUCAGGUCGGUCAGGCUGGUUAAGGAGGCUAGGAGAGCUCUGGAGAACCCGGAUCAUCCUGGAAACGAGGCCAACCUCGCCGCUGUUGCUAGGGAUGUCUCGGUCUCCCUUGACAGAUGCGUCUCCUGUCUUCCUGGGCAGAAGGACGUCGACGAUGCCAUCAGGAGCAUCGAUGACAUGAGCCAGGUCCUCGCCAACAACGAGUUCCCGCAGACGAACAAGAGCUUCGGGCAACUUCAGCACGACCUUGGGGACGCUGCCGCACAUCUGAACGACGCCUCCUCCAACGUGGUUACCUCGGUCCGAUCUCCGGUCCAACUUGCGAGCUCAUCCAAACAGCUGACCGACGCCUUUGGUAACCUCCUGGGGGUCGGCAUGGAAAUGGCCGGUCAGACCUCGGUGGAGACGACGAGGACCCAGAUGGUGGUGUCCCUGAAGAACGUUAGCAUGACCUCCAGCAAGCUCUUGGUCACUGCCAAGUCGGUCGCUGCCGAUCCCAACGCCCCCAACGCGAAGAAUCAGCUUUCCGCCGCGGCUCGUGCCGUCACCGACUCCAUCAACUACCUCAUCGACGUCUGCACGUCCGCGGCACCUGGACAGAACGAGUGCGACAACGCCAUCAGGAACAUCCAGUCCAUGAGGUCGCUGCUAGAGAACCCCAGCGAGCCCGUCUCCGACGCUUCUUAUUUCGAAUGUCUCGACACGGUCAUGGAGAAGAGCAUGAGCCUAGGGGAUGGCAUGACCGGGAUCGCCAACCAUGCCAAAAGGUCCGAGCACGAGCAGUUCUCAGUGGCUGUUAGAGGCGUCUCUUCGUCUAUCUGUGGACUCGUCGAGGCUGCUGCACAGGCGGCUUACCUGGCCGGAGUCAGCGAGCCAAGCUCGGUUGCUGGGAAGCCAGGUCUAGUGGACCAAGCCCAGUUCCUUCGAGCGGCGCAAGCCAUCCACGCAGGUUGCCAGAGCCUGGGGAACCCGACGAGCACCCAGCAGCAGGUCCUCUCGGCAGCGACGAGCAUAGCCAAGCACACGAGCGCCCUCUGCAACGCUUGCAGACUAGCAUCCAGCAAGACCAGCAACCCGGUAGCGAAAAGGCACUUCGUGCAAUCAGCGAAGGACGUGGCAAACUCGACGGCGAGCCUCGUCAAGGAGAUAAAAGCCCUGGACCAGGACUACUCGCCGACGAACCGAGAGCGCUGCGCCGAGGCGACGAAGCCCCUUCUGCACGCGGUCGACGACCUCUGCACCUUCGCCUGUUCCCCGGAGUUCACGAGCCAGCCCGCGAAGAUCUCAUUAACGGCAAGAGCUGCCCAGGAACCGAUCCUGGCGGCAGGAAGAGCGAUCAUAGACGGGUCCUGCGCGAUGGUGCAGGCGGCAAAAAGCCUGGCCGUCAGUCCCAAGGACCCUCCGACCUGGCAGCUCCUGGCGAACCACAGCAAAAGCGUCAGCGACUCCAUCAAGGCCUUGGUGGCCUCCAUCAGGGACAAAGCCCCGGGUCAGAAGGAGUGCGACGAGGCCAUAGAGAAGCUGUCCGCCAGGAUCAGGGAGCUGGACUCGGCGUCCUUGGCCGCGGUCUCGCAGGCUCUCCUCCCUAGGAGAGAGAACACCAUCCAAGGGUUCACCGACCAGAUGGAGAGCAGCGCCAACGAGCUCAGAGAGAAGCUGGAGCCCCUGAGGACCGCUGCGAAAUAUGAAGCCGAACAUGUCGGUCAUGCCGUUAACCAGGUCGCUCAAUAUUGCGCGCCGUUGGUUUCCGGAGCCGUUGGAGCGGCCUCCAACAUGGUGCACUCCAAGCAGCAGAUGAUCCUCCUGGACCAGACCAAGACCGUUGCAGAAUCCGCUCUUCAGCUUGUCUAUGUCACCAAGGAGAGCGCUGGCAAUCCUAAGGCGGUUAAUCUUCAUGCCGAGGUCGACGAGAUGGUCGAGUCUACCAGGGAUGCUCUUCAGGAACUCCAGAACACCCUGGAGAGCAUUUCCACCUCCAGUGGCAUCGUUACCGGGCUGAUUGAUACCAUAUCUAGGGCUAUGGUGAGGCUGGAAGACAGAAGGAGCUCCACUAUCGACACCGUGGACUCCUACGUUGAUUAUCAGACCAGGAUGGUCGAGGCUGCCAAGGAGAUCGCUAGGCUUGCUCAGGAGAUGUCGACGAAGUCCAGCACCGACGUCGGGAGGCUGGGGCCUUUGGCGGUGGACAUUUCGCAUAAAUACACACAAUUGGCGAGAGACGCAUGCGGUGCUUCCGCUGCCGCCUCCAAUGCUGACGUCUCUUCAAGGUUGCGCUCCGGGGUCCAGGAACUGGGUCGAGUUUGCGUUGACAUCGUGCGGUCUGCCGGCACCUGCCAAAUGUCACCCGGGGAUGCGUAUGCUCAGAGAGAGGUCGCGGAGAACAGCAGGGCCGUCACCGAGAAGGUGUCCCAGGUGUUGGCUGCUCUUCAGGCUGGGUCCAGAGGAACCCAGGCGUGCAUCAAUGCCGCCAGCACCGUCUCGGGCAUAAUCGGCGACCUGGACACGACCAUCAUGUUCGCCACUGCUGGUACCCUGCACGCCGAGAACGAGGACGACACCUUCGCUGACCACAGGGAGAACAUCCUGAAGACCGCCAAGGCACUCGUCGAGGACACCAAGACCCUGGUUGCUGGGGCGGCAUCCUCUCAGGAACAACUCGCAGUUGCUGCUCAAAAUGCGGUGUCGACGAUCGUCCAGCUGGCGGAGGUCGUCAAAUAUGGAGCUGCAAGUCUCGGCAGCCACAACCCUGAAGCGCAGGUGAUGCUGAUCAACGCCGUGAAAGACGUGGCCUCGGCCCUGGGUGACCUGAUCCAUGCAACGAAAGCUGCAAGUGGAAAGCCCAUCAACGACCCCAGCAUGGCGCACCUGAAGGACUCCGCCAAGGUGAUGGUGACCAACGUGACGUCGUUGCUGAAGACCGUCAAGGCCGUGGAGGAUGAACAUGCCCGAGGUACCAGGGCCCUGGAGUCGACCAUCGAAGCCAUCGGCCAGGAAAUCCGGGGUUUGAGCUCCGCCGAGAACCAGCGGGCCAACGUCACCCCGGAGGACCUCGUGCGGUGCACGAAGAGCAUCACCACGGCCACCGCCAAGGCCGUUGCUGCCGGGAACAGCUGCAAACAGGACGACAUCAUCGCCGCCGCCAACAUGGGCAGGAAGGCCAUCAGCGACAUGCUCACCAUCUGCAAGGGCGCCGCCCACGCAUGUGCGGAGACCGAGGAACUCAGGGUCAGGACCCUGCAAGCUGGACACGACGUCGCCCUCAACUAUAGGGAACUCCUCCAGGCCAUUUUGCAGAUCGCCUCCAGACCUGGCGGUGACCUGGCCAAGCACACCUUGCCUCCUAUCUCCAGGAAAAUAGCUCAGAGCGUCACCGAGCUCGUCGCCGUCGCCGAGUUGCUGAAGGGCACCGAUUGGGUUGACCCUGACGACCCCACCGUCAUUGCUGAGAACGAACUCCUAGGAGCUGCUGCUAGCAUCGAUGCUGCUGCCAAGAAGCUGGCUAGCUUGAGACCUAGGAGGAGCGUCCAGGAAACGACGGAGGACAUGAACUUCGACGAGAUGAUCCUGGAGGCCGCAAAGUCCAUCGCCGCGGCGACUUCUGCACUCAUCAAGGCGGCGAGUGCCGCACAGAGGGAGUUGAUAGCCACGGGGAAGGUGUCGAGGACUCCAUUGACGAGCUCCGACGACGGCCAGUGGUCGGAAGGUCUGAUCUCCGCGGCUAGGAUGGUGGCGGCAGCGACUCACAGCCUGGUGGAGUCUGCAAACGCCCUGGUCCAGGGGGUCAGCUCCGAGGAGAAGCUGAUAUCCAGCGCGAAACAGGUCGCCAGCAGCACGGCCCAACUCCUGGUGGCAUGCAAGGUCAAGGCCGACCCCGACAGCGAGAGCACCAAGAGGCUCCAAGCCGCGGGUAACGCCGUCAAGAGGGCCACCGACAACCUGGUCAGGGCUGCCCAACAAGCCAUCCAGCAGGAAGAGGACAGGUCCUUGAUCCUGAACCGAAGGAUGGUCGGCGGAAUCGCCCAGGAGAUCAACGCCAGGUCGGAGGUGCUGCGCAUCGAGCGAGAACUCGAAGAGGCCAGGGGAAGACUGACGGCGAUUCGCCAAGCCAAGUACAAGAAUCGACCCGACGCCUCCUUUUUAUCAGACACUGAUAACGACGCCGACCAGAGUGGAUACGAGAGCUACGGCACCGUCAACACUUCCGUCACCGGGGCUAGGUCUCCCGUUAGGGGUGCGGGUCAGGUCCAGGUCGACAACUACCAGGAUAGGAGCGAAAGACUCGUCAGUCCUGAGAAGGUCUACUCCACGCAGAGCACCCUGGAGAAGAGGAUGAAGGACGACAGGUAUCGCUACAACGCGGUGGAACAUCAAUAUGGCUCCCUUGAUGGCAGGAGGUGCGUCCAGGACGAGGAAAAGCCGUACGUUCCUGGGGAGAGGUCCGUGGCUUUCCGGACCGAGGACUCGUGUCCUGGACAGUACAGCUCCAUCGAGAGGAAGAUCAACCGAGAGAGCUACGAGGGCCACUACGGGGGACCAGGACUUCAGGACUCCGAGUACCCUCCUCAGGAUCAGCUCUCGGGGCCCAACGAUUAUUACUCCGAGGAGAGGGGUUUCGAGCAGCAGAGAUACUCCCCGAAGGACCAGGACCAGGUCAGGGUGUCCUUGCCGAGUCCUGCUCUGAGCACUUUCAGGUCAGACCCCAAGCCCGGCGACCUAAGGAGAACGGCGUCUCCUGGGAUUCCGCAGACCCAGACCUCGAAAAAUGUCGAGACCAAGGUCACACCCACGGGGAGGGUCGAGACCAUCACCACCAGGGUUUACACCUCGACCCCCCUCGGCAAGUCCAACUCCAACUUCGAGUCCUCCUCCGAGGAGACCAAGGAGUUCAGCUCUUCGGGGUGCAACGACCUCUCCACCUUCAGGGCGCUGGACAACGAGACCCUCGAACAGAGGAUGCUGAAGCAGUCCAUGAUGCAGAAAGUCACCGAGAAGAAGACCAUCACCACCACCACGACCAGUCGCCAGGAGUCCAACACCAAGACCUUCCGCUACGAGGAGAAAUGAGAGGAUUGGAGACCCUGAAGAGAUACGCACAGGACCUUACUUACUGAUAACACCUUAAGUUCGAACGCGAUUCUAGAGAAAAACCAACCGCAUUGGAGGUGCCGAGGACGAACCCAAUCUGACCCGUGGGGUAGGUCGGCACCGAGGUCACCGCGUAUGCCGAGGUCGGGAAUACGGAUUUGCAGAGUCUGA
rnacentral:misc_RNA from 1 species